rnacentral:rRNA from 1 species
CUAAGAAUAUUCCGCAAUGGACGAAAGUCUGACGGAGCGACGCCGCGUGGAUGACGAAGGCCGAAAGGUUGUAAAAUCCUUUUGCUGGUGAAGAAUAAGUCUGGGAGGAAAUGCCCGGAUGAUGACAUGAACCGGUGAAUAAGCCCCGGCAAACUACGUGCCAGCAGCCGCGGUAACACGUAGGGGGCAAGCGUUGUUCGGAAUUAUUGGGCGUAAAGGGCAUGUAGGCGGUCAUGUAAGUCUGGCGUGAAAUGGUUCGGCUUAACCGAAUCCUGCGUCGGAAACUGCGAGACUAGAAUCACUGAGGGGGAAUCAGAAUUCCAGGUGUAGGGGUGAAAUCUGUAGAUAUCUGGAAGAAUACCAGUGGCGAAGGCGGAUUCCUGGCAGAUGAUUGACGCUGAGGUGCGAAAGUGCGGGGAGCAAACAGG